AUCAGACUGGAAGUACAGUUAUAUUGAGUGCUUUGGGAAUAUUGGGCUUAGUAUCCGGACCUAUCUAGUACCAUGUUACACGUUUGGGAAGAACGCACAGCUGAUGGAUAAAAGUUGUUUACUAUAUGGUUUGUUGUGUGCUAUACCACCAAUGAAUGUAGUGUUAGCUGUUAAUCUACGGAGACAAAUUCGAAUUAAAUAUAACAUUUCUGGAUCUAUUCCAAAGGAUAUCCUUGCUGUAAUUCUGUGUCCAUUCUGUACUUUGAUACAAGAAUCACAACAAUUAACAGACCACCAAAUUGAAACAAAAAUUCCAUCUGAUAUGGUGAUAGACAGAGACGAUGUGGAAACCCAAAUCACUAAGGAAACUCCCUCCUGACAGACAAUGAAAAAAAAUAUUCAGCUCAACUAGAGAACUAAAAAAGGCUGUAAUUUGCGAAUGAUCAUGACACACCCACAAAAUAACAAAAAAAAUCUGGCUGUGAUUUGUGAAUGAUCAUGACACACCAACAAAAAGACAAAAAAAGCUGACACGACAACUGAUGAAUGAAAAUGUCUUUUUACGGGAAACAUUAUUCAACUUCAUUUUUGCACAGUGUAUAAAAGUAUUGUUACACAAUUAACCUGUAUAUAAAGGACAAUUAACCUGUAUGUGAAGGACAAUUAACCUGUAUAUAAAGGACAAAUAUGGAAUCAAAACAAAAACAUGUCCUUCUUAGGACGCUAUCCAUUAUACAGAGGUUUAAAUAACAAGCUUUUUUUUCUGUUUUAUCCUUGAAAGGCGUCUAUGAGUGUAGAUAGAUAAUAAAUUUAAAGACAGAACUA